AUUGAACGCUGGCGGCAGGCUUAACACAUGCAAGUCGAGCGGGGUGAUGGUGCUUGCACUAUCACUUAGCGGCGGACGGGUGAGUAAUGCUUAGGAAUCUGCCUAUUAGUGGGGGACAACAUCUCGAAAGGGAUGCUAAUACCGCAUACGUCCUACGGGAGAAAGCAGGGGAUCACUUGUGACCUUGCGCUAAUAGAUGAGCCUAAGUCGGGUUAGCUAGUUGGUGGGGUAAAGGCCUACCAAGGCGACGAUCUGUAGCGGGUCUGAGAGGUUGAUCCGCCACACUGGGACUGAGACACGGCCCAGACUCCUACGGGAGGCAGCAGUGGGGAAUAUUGGACAAUGGGGGGAACCCUGAUCCAGCCAUGCCGCGUGUGUGAAGAAGGCCUUAUGGUUGUAAAGCACUUUAAGCGAGGAGGAGGCUCUUUUGGUUAAUACCCAAGAUGAGUGGACGUUACUCGCAGAAUAAGCACCGGCUAACUCUGUGCCAGCAGCCGCCGUAA
rnacentral:rRNA from 1 species